GGGGGAAUAACCCAGGGCUGUGAAUGAGCCCUGUCACUGUGAUCAGGUUCCUCCUUCUAAUCCACCAACUUAGUGUUGAUGAAGACUAAACAGAGAGAUCCCAGCCUUCUUUCUACUUGCUGUAGCUCAGAGUUACUCCACACUGCAGAUAUGACGCCUCUGUUCAUCUCAGUGCUGCUGGCUGCUAUGAGCCUUGAAUGCAGAGCACAACAAGACAACGUGCUGCAACCAACAGGAGAUGUGACUGCUACUGAAGGAGAGGCAGUAACACUUGGCUGUCAAUAUAACAGCAGUUCAUCUAAUGAUUAUCUCUUCUGGUACAAACAGGAUGAAAACAACAGCCCCAAAUUUAUUCUCAGCCGCUUUAAGAUUGGACCGGGGAAAACAGAGCACGAGUUCAAGGACAGAUUUUCAUCUACACUCAAUUCCAAGUUAAGAUCAGUUCCUCUGGAGAUCCAGAAGCUUCAGCUGUCUGACUCUGCUGUGUACUACUGUGCUCUGCAGCCCACAGUGACAGGAAACACCAAAACUCUGUACAAAAACCUUUGGAGAGUCAACUGUGAAGAACUCACUCCAGUAGAGAAAGAAGAGAACAGUUUAGAAGACAGCUUUGUUACUCUGUCCUACAGAUACUCCAGACAAGCAACUGGUAGUGAGGAGUUUUACUGGUAUCGACAAUAUCCAGGAAAACCUCCAGAAUCUCCUCUGCUGCAGUGGCAGACUCUGCUGUGUACUACUGUGCUGUGA